GCACUACUGAGGAGUCCCAGAACAAAAGGAAACGGCCGUCUAGUGU
rfam:Schistosoma margrebowiei strain Zambia genome assembly, scaffold: SMRZ_scaffold0000277